rnacentral:tRNA from 1 species
GCAUGAGUAGCUCAGCGCUCAGAGCAUUGGUCUUGUAAGCCAGGCGCCGGAGGUUAAAAUCCUCCCUCAUGCA